rnacentral:rRNA from 1 species
UGCUUCUCUUGAGAGCGGCGGACGGGUGAGUAAUGCCUAGGAAUCUGCCUGGUAGUGGGGGAUAACGUCCGGAAACGGACGCUAAUACCGCAUACGUCCUACGGGAGAAAGCAGGGGACCUUCGGGCCUUGCGCUAUCAGAUGAGCCUAGGUCGGAUUAGCUAGUUGGUGGGGUAAUGGCUCACCAAGGCGACGAUCCGUAACUGGUCUGAGAGGAUGAUCAGUCACACUGGAACUGAGACACGGUCCAGACUCCUACGGGAGGCAGCAGUGGGGAAUAUUGGACAAUGGGCGAAAGCCUGAUCCAGCCAUGCCGCGUGUGUGAAGAAGGUCUUCGGAUUGUAAAGCACUUUAAGUUGGGAGGAAGGGCAGUAAAUUAAUACUUUGCUGUUUUGACGUUACCGACAGAAUAAGCACCGGCUAACUCUGUGCCAGCAGCCGCGGUAAUACAGAGGGUGCAAGCGUUAAUCGGAAUUACUGGGCGUAAAGCGCGCGUAGGUGGUUCGUUAAGUUGGAUGUGAAAUCCCCGGGCUCAACCUGGGAACUGCAUUCAAAACUGACGAGCUAGAGUAUGGUAGAGGGUGGUGGAAUUUCCUGUGUAGCGGUGAAAUGCGUAGAUAUAGGAAGGAACACCAGUGGCGAAGGCGACCACCUGGACUGAUACUGACACUGAGGUGCGAAAGCGUGGGGAGCAAACAGGA